CUACCAGGAUAUUCUUGAGGGGAGACUCUCCACUUAGAUCGCCAAGAUCUCUUCACGGUACCUGUGGGGUGAAGAUCGCAAAGGAUCAAUCGCCUGGCUCCCCAUGGUGAUAGAUCACGCGUCAAGAAAUCCAACAUGGCAGAUGAGCCAACGAAGAAGAGGAGCGCCACAUUUGACGAUUGCUGGCCCCAGGUUUCCCUGACUACAUUUCUCUUCACGAAAUUCUCUGGAGCCGAGUGAACCAACAUCAACAACAAUAGAUGUGUCCCAUUACAUGGAUCAUUGUUGAUUGUGAACCGAAAGUCUUUUAUAUCAAUAAGAGUUGAUUUGUCACCGAACGGAAGUUCGUGUAAUAAAUAUGGCUGCGGAGAGGGUGUUACGUUUCCGGGUAAGAUUAAUAGAUAUCCCGGUGCCGAUACGCUGUAUGGCGUCGGUGAACCGGAAUUGUCGAUGUGAAGCCAGAAGGAGAAGCAUCCAGUCAGUGCCAAAGCGACCACAAAAAUCAGAGUGCAAGGCGACGUACCGGAGGCAUGGAGUCGCCGCUUAUCCAGCAUACUAAAAAGUCCCUUACAUCAUACAAGUCUGAGUCCGGCUAAAAAAAGUAAAAUAAAAGAUUAACUUAUAUUAUAUAAUCAAUUAUAUUUUAUUUUAAACAUUUAUUUUCAUAUAUGAAUUAAUAUGGAUUAGUAAUUUAUUUUAUAUAUUUUUUAUACAGAUAAUAGUAAAAAAAUCCAUUGUCAGUACUAAACUGGUUUAAAUUAUUUAACUUGUCUCCAGAACAGCAGUCAUUUCAUGUCAUUAGAAAACAUAUGUGAUGCUAUAAAUACUAUCUGCUAUAAAUACUAUCUUUUAUUUUGCUUAUAUAUAUUUUUAAUAGAUAAUAAUUUGUGAAAUGUUAAUAUGUGGAUAGUGAUAAUAGGAAAUAACACAAUUGAUAAAUUUCCAGUUAAUAUAUUUAUAAUCAACUAAUAAAUUAAAAAUCGAGAUUUGAAUAUUAAUCCAGCAACUUUUCAAUAUCGCAAUAUAUUAACUUUCGAAUUAGUUUAUGUUCAGCUCUAUAAAAGUAUUAUAAAGACAGUCGAUUAUUAAUAUUAAUAUUAAUAUUUCAACCUUGAACUAAUGUUAGACUUACAUUAUUGGUAAUAUUCACUAAUAAAUAGUGAAACAAUUUACGAGUUGCUAGAGUUUAAGAUGAAUAAUAAAUCGAACUGCUAAUGCUAUGUCAAGCGAAUUGUGAAAAAUUUAAAUAUAUAUAUAAACAAUUUAUCUUAUUAUUCUCAUAUUAAUAGGCAACCUUUGAUCUUGGAUAAAAAAUAUUAUGAUAAUAUUCAUUGUAUUAAUAAUAUUAAAAUCGUAAUAUAAUAAUUAAAAAUAUAAUCAUACGAGUUAUACUACAUUUGCAUCUAUAUUAUAACAUUGUAAUAAAAUCUUUAAACAAUUUAGAAA